rnacentral:rRNA from 1 species
UACAGAGGUCUCAAGCGUUGUUCGGAUUCAUUGGGCGUAAAGGGCGCGUAGGCGGGCCGCCAAGUUCGAGGUGAAAUCCUCCGGCUCAACCGGAGAACUGCCUCGAAUACUGGAGGCCUCGAGGCGGGUAGGGGCACGCGGAACUGUGGGUGGAGCGGUGAAAUGCGUUGAUAUCCACAGGAACUCCGGUGGCGAAGGCGGCGUGCUGGACCCGAUCUGACGCUGAGGCGCGAAAGCCAGGGGAGCAAACGGG